GAGAUGGUUUAAAGCUUGAAACGGAAUUAUUGGAUGGAAAGACCAAGCUAAUACUGUCUCCGUAUGAGCAUAAAUCAAAAGUUUCUGUGAAGAAGAUACCUUCCUGCAUAUUUCUUCUGGCACAACUGGAAUAUGGCAAGAUAUUCCUAGUUAUUUGACUCCGGUUCGUAGGUUUGUGUCCAGCAGCAGAGAUUUCCAGCAGCCGUGAAAUCUCCAGUCUGACACGGAGCUCCGUUGGCUUUAUCUGUCCUCUUCAGGACAGUUAGAAAGAGCCCCCUUGCUUUCUAGAGGAGCGUGACCCAGAUGGGAAAUAAGAUCAAGAUUGCAAAAUAUUCUUUAAGAACAAAACAGACUGGACAUACUUUAAAGUCAACACAAAAUACUUACAUUGGGAGUGAAAAUCUUUCUCAAAAGAAGAUCUCUACUUCAGACACUUCACAAGCAAAACGUGAAAA
rnacentral:lncRNA from 1 species